CACGUGUUGGAGUGGUUGGAGUCCUAUAUAUUGUCUCUGGUCCUAUGUUUUGGCCGAUGUAAUUAAACAUUAUUUGAAAUGAACGGUAUUAAGUUCGAAGAAACUGAUACUACAUUCGCUGAUGCAUUGCGAAGCAAGAGAACUAGGUGUAGUAAUUUUACUGCCCAAGAGAAAAAUGUUUUAAUUCAUAUAAUAGAACAAUACGAGUUCAUUGUCGAGUGUAAAAAGAAUGAUAAACAGAGUAUUCUUAAAAAGGAAAGGUUAUGGGACACGAUUACUGAAGAGUUUAAUGAAAUUCUUGGGCCCGAUUCAACACGGACAGCCAGGCAGUUAAAGUUAUGCUACGAAAACUUGAAAAAAAGACUUAGGAAAAAAAGCACCGAUGAGAAAUGUAAACAGAAUGGUGAAUUCCAACCUCUUAAUUGGCAAACUCUUUUGUCAGUUGAUCGUACAGAGGACGUUGAAUUAGAAUUGAAUUCUUCUACGGAUGCGAUUCGGCCUUCGUUGGAAGAGUGUGGUUGGUGUGGCCAGCGUGGGGCAGUGCGUGGGGGUUGUUUCCAGGGGCCGAGGACAGCCAGAGCCGCCCAGGCACCAGGACGUCUGUGCCAGACACGGACCUAAUGGCACUGCGCCGCGCGCUGCUGCGCAAGGAGAUAGCACUGGCCGACCUGGACCUCAGGAUGCGCGCGCGCAAGUACCGCCUCGAGCUGCGCGUGCAGGCGGCCAAGCUGGGCUACUACCGGCGCAAGACGGCCCUGCUGCGCGGCGCGGCGCCCGGCACCGACUCGUGACGCUCCCGCCCCGUGUGCGCGGUACCUUUCAAUAUAUAUACUGUAUAGAAGUCGCCAGCCCAGGUUAAAAUUUCUAAUACGGUCUUGAGGUAGUUGGUUAAUUCACCGCCGCAAUCGCCACCAUCUCUAGGGCAUCGACUUGUGGUGGUCCCUAGCGGACAAGUGUCGAACUCUUCAAACACCCCUUCCCCCUCCCGGCGAACGUCCUCGAGCUGCAGUGAAUGAUCGGUGGGGGGUGCGGGGAAUGACAGCGGGCGACAGUGCUGCGCUCUAACGUGUAAAUAACAGCCUAAGACGAUACAGAGCGUUACGGCAGCGCACUGCAGCGGGUGAAGUUCCCAAGCUGCUCAUCAUACGCUUCUGAAAAACGUAGAGUAAAUCCUAUCCACACUCGACUUCUAUACAGUAUAUAUAUUCAAAGGCGGUACCGAGCCAUCUCUGCCGUCGGAACCGUCGGCUGGUUUCGUCGACUCUACGAGCUGCUUUCAGCUGAAGGAGGAAGGUUCCUGCUACCGCGUCUCGUCACAAAUCACAUCCAGCAACUGCACAACUUGGAAAUUAAAACGCCAGAUCUUAAAACCUUUUUAUUUGCAUUAUAUUUCUUAUGGAUUGUAAAUUUCAUUAAUUCAGUCAAUUCAUCACAAUGUGUUUUGCUAAUUAUUUUAAAAUUUUCAUCUAAUUUGAGCCUAACAUGUUAUUGACUUUGAGCCAGGGCAGAUUAAUUUUGUCAGUUCACCUCCGUAUUAAUUACUGUAAAACUUUUCGAACAAAGCCCUAGUUAAAAUCUAAAGGCUGUAAACGUUAGCUUGACCAUAUGACUGUAAAUGUGAUCUGUGCGAAUCACGCAACUACCUGAAGCGUACCUACGAACUGUUUUUCAAUUGACUUGUAAUUUUAGUCCUGUGAAGGUAUUCUCAAGCAUUAAAAUAAAAUUGAGACUCGACUGGAAGCCUUCCUGGUAAUCGGGCUCUGGAGGACCGCUCCCUCGUGACGGCUCUGCAGCAAGGGCGUUGAAACAGACGGUGAGACACUACACGACCAAGAAUACCAGGGAAAGAGUUGACCUCGGGUCUGCAUUCGUCAGGAUGCCUGAUUGGUAGGGACAAGAUCAUGUGAUGAAUUGCAACAAAGCCAAAAUAACACCGCAAAGCAUGUCGGUACACCAUUUAACACGUAAAUGCAACAAAAAAAUCAUGAAAAAUUAAUCUGCAUAGUUCAUCAAAACUCAACUCAAGAUUACAAAGAACAUACUCAUUUAAUAUAUUAAAUUCAAUGAAUGUAAAUUAUUUGGCAUGGAGUUAGUACCAAAUUUCUACAUAGAUUGGAAUUUUUUUAUUUAUUUUUUAUUUUUUUAUGUAUUGCAACCGUUAUUAGUUACUAAUUUUUACAGCAUCACGUUCAAACCUUACAAACACACAUAUACUUGCUGAUUUAUUUGUAUUGUUCCCAGUAGUUUGACACACUUAUUACAAAUUAUUAUAUUGUAAAAGUGCAUCAUGUUUUGGUGAAGUAAGUAUCACUGAACAAGUAAGUGUCGUAUUUGUUGGAAAUCGUGCUAUCUUUAUGAGCUAACAUAGUUCAUAAAAAUAAUUAACACCGAAAUCUCUUGUUUAAAAAACGAAAGCCCAAAAGUAAAACCAUAAAAUCUUGUCUCUACUGAUUGGGUUCAAACUGGUUCCCCUGGCAUGCCAGAGCAGUGGCCUAUCGCUGUGCCGCCGUGCCGCCUUGUGCCACCUUCGUCUAUUUCAUGGUGGAUAUCAGUUUUUAAACAUUCCUGCAGAAACGUUGAAUCAUCAAUAAAAUAACUGUUCUAAGUGCUUGUAAAACUUUUGGUUAUUUGGUGUUAGAAACAAUGCUAAAACAAAAGUAACAACUUGCAACCUGUACAGAUCCAAUUGAACGUUUAAUACUACGUAUUUGUAUUACCAGUGGGAAGAUAUUCCAAGAUUUAUUUUAUUUUUCCCUGGAUGUUCUGUCAUGUACCAUGGUUACCACACUUUUUUAAGUAAUUUUUAACUCCUAAUUAUUGUUUUAAAGUUUACUAUACAGAUAUUCUAUGUGCCCUUAGUAAUAUUUGGCAGGCCUCUGUUAUUGCUUUGAUAAUAACAUCCUGUAGAAAAUUUUCAGAUACUGUAUUUUGUGUGUAAGUAUAGUUUUAUGUUCCUCAUGAUUCUUAAGUAGUACACUAGUUAUAAACUAUAAACGUAAAGAAAUGAAACAAAUUUGUUGCGAAGUUUUUCUACCUCUUGAUAAACCUUGUUAUAAAUGACUGAAAUAAAAAUAAAUUUUGCUAGACUUCAAUAAUUUUGUAUUCUUUUAUAUAUUUUCUGAAUUAAAUGAUGACUUGUAUUUUUUUUUUGUGUUGUAAUGCUUGGCGUUGCUGUAUAAAAAAGCAAUGAAUGGUAACAGAAAGGAAGACAUGUACCCAAUAGUUAUAAUGAGGUGACACUUUUUUUUUUUGCAGCAGAUGCUGCCAACACAAUUUGAACCAGCAAACCGUUCUUCUUUGUGGACAAGAAAACUCGAUUCAACCUGUACAGUUGGCUACAGAUGUACUAUGUAUCUCGUAAACAUUUUAGUAAAGAGAAUAAAAAAUGUAAAUAGAUUUACAUUUUACAACCAUUUUGAGAGCAUCUGUAAAUGUUAUAACAUUUUAAAAAUACUUUAGGGUAUGUUGUUUGGAAACAUAGUUCUCAAAUCUUAAAAGGAAAUAAAUGUAGGCCUUCUGCUUUAGCAAAUUGGAACACGUAUAGUAAGUACUGAAAUAACUUUUUAUCUUAGAUGAAAAUAUUUACAGUUUUAGCAGAGGAAGUGGAUGUAAGCGGGCAAGGUUUCACCUACAUGUUUCGCUGCCAAAGUCUGGCCAACCGUACAGCGUUAAAUGUGACUAAAAUAUGUACUACCUACGUUUCCCAGACAUAGAAUCGAAUAAUAAUGUUUCACACUGCACAGUUUGUAAAGCUUGUUUGUUAUGUCCAUAAUCAUAGUGGGUUGCGAACCAAAUCUGAUAUCAAAUCAGUGCUCAUAAUUCGAGGCAUGGUGGGAGGUGAACAGUGAACAGAGAUUUCCAAACUUUUGGCUAGCAGCCAGUGCAAAGUCCAUCUUCUAUGACUUGUUUUAAGAAAAUGAGGGAUUUUAUUGUUAAAUUUUUAACAUUUCAUUGGCAGUAUGUCCAAAAAAAUAUACCACACACUGGAAAAUUCAUUAUCUUGUUGCAAAAAUAAAUGUACAGACACUAAAUGAUGCCUAUGUUUUAGCAAAAUUUGCAUGCAAAGUUUGUUUUCGGCAGCUUUAUAAACAUAUACAUUUAUUGAGAAGGUAACUUAUUUUAGUAGGUAACUGUCUGUUGGGAAAAAAUCAUUAUGUAUGGUAUAGUCUCGAUUAACUGAAUUAGUGUUGACCGUGACAACUUCGGAUAAGCAAAAUCUUGGAUAACACAAAUAUAAUUAGAAAAUAAUCAUGGUUUUCAGUUGACCCAGCGGUCUCAAUAUUUCCAGCUUUUCUUCAGUGUAAAUUCUUUCACUUCACUUCAUGAUUCGCUUAACCAGUAAAUUGUAUUAUUGGGGCUUAUUUUGUCAAGGCUCUUGACAACGGUUAGAAAAUGUUCUAGGUAGUUCCUUAAGCCAGUUUUUCGACAGUCCUGGCCGGGAAUGGUACUUCAGAUCAGUUAGGAUAAAAUGGAACCUCAGUUCUAUUCACUGAGACACUAAUGUAAGUGCAGAAAUUUUCUCUUGCUGUGGCUAUAAAUAAAGCUCAAGUAAAUAAACAUAAUAGCACUUAAGCUAAGCUUUAGCAUGCAGCUAGUAUAAAGUUCAUUCCAACUACCAUUUUAGUAACUUGUUGGAAUAAAAUACUAUAAUAUUACUAUUCCUAAGUUUUCUGAUCUAAAAUUCAACACAGAGUGGUAUUUUCAGUGUCUCAUUUUUGCCAGAAGAUAGCAAAAGCCUUGAGUGGUGCAUAAUUUUUAGCGAGAUGUAUGUGUGCGAGUUACUCAUUUUCAUAUACUUCCUCUAAGAAAAUUAAGAAUAUUCUGAAUGAAAUAAUUAAUUUCAUUAUUGAAACACUGUUUCGCGCUGUCGACGCUGAUGGCGCAUCAUGGCCUGCCCGCUAGUGCGAAGCACUUGUGUCGUAACUUCGUUUUGUAACAAAGUGCAAAUGAACUAUCACAAUUAAUUUACAGGACUAGCCCUUAAUGAAAAGAGUAAUAAUAAGAAAAAGAAAAUACCUUUGUGGCUAAGUGAGUCUGAGUCUUAAAGUUCAUAAUUUCCUAUAGUUUUCAUCUAUUUUCUGUUUAAAGUAUCUUAUGUUAAUAAACAAAGGUACAAAAUCCUGCUGUUUUUAUACUUAGUGUAUGUACUGAAUAAAUAUAUCUGGUGUUUUUUAAAAUCAUUAAAAUGAUUUUUCAAUACGACGCAGGAGUUCAAGAAGGUAAAAAUCAAUCCAUGCAAGUAAACACACACAAAUUUUAAUAUGUCGUUUAUUCUGCCGUAGCAGCCGCGCAGGCCUCGGGACGUCUGCCGUGCCGCGUCCUGCGCUGCUCACAGCUUGUGGUAGAAGGACUUGUGCACGACCAUGCAAGGCCGGAUGCUCUGCACGCUGUUGCAUCCUGGGAGGAACAAAGCAAACUGCACCGUUCGGGCCUCGGCGGACACUUCUCCAGAACCCAGCAUUGCUUACAUUACUGCUGAUACCACGGUGUUGAAGAACAGAUUCAGUGGUUUGCACGCCACACCCUGAUGUGGACUCCCGUUAUAGUUUAUACUGCAGUUGAAACUAUUAAAAUUUAUUUAUAACUGGGACAUUCGUUUAUGGACUUACUGUCAAUGUCAAUGAAAUAUGAAGCCCUAAUUCAUUCAUCCGCCCUAUGAUGCUGACAUUCUCUAAAAUAAGACAGGGAACAUCUAUAUAAUAGGAAAUUGAAAAAAAUAUCUUCAAAACAUGAAAAACACAGGGAAAAUGACAAAAUAUCAUCACCAAACUGGAUUAGUAAUUUAUAAUACAGUAUGUACCUCCACUGUCUUAAAACCAGUCUGCAUUUAUACGACAAAGUCAUGUGUAGUUAAAAACCCAUCCAUUUUCAUUCUUAAUUAAAUGUAAGAGAACUGAUCAUUGAAUCAUAUAUUGUUUAUUUAAUGAAUAGAUCACGUGUCGAUAGUCUUUUGACAUGCUCACAAUCAAUAAAGCAUGGUUUCAAAGUUUGACCAAAUAAUGUGAUUUUAUAUAACACACUGGCAAAGUUUGUUGUAUAACAUUGAUGGAAGUGAUAUUGCAAACUGUGUUUUGUGCGGUAAAAUAUUUUAUGGUCACUUUCAUUUGUCAUUGUUUGAUUAAAAUUGCAUUUCUAUAGGUAUUUGUAGUUUAAUAUAAUGUUAUUUUACGAGGUUGUUUGAUGAGAUAGGAAGAUAAUGUUUGUUUGGACAGGAAACACUCGGGGAAAUGUUGAAGAGAAAGGAUGUGGUAACCAUGAUAAAGCAAGUGCGAGUGGAUGGGUGUCCCGUCAAGCUGUCCCGAGCCUGCUCACCGGUGAGGGAGAACGUGGUCUCCAGCUCCCACCUCACGAUGUCGAGGAUGCUCCGGACCCCUCGCUGGCCGCUGUGGGCCAGCCC